rnacentral:rRNA from 1 species
AACGAACGCUGGCGGCAUGCCUAACACAUGCAAGUCGAACGAGACCUUCGGGUCUAGUGGCGCACGGGUGCGUAACGCGUGGGAACCUGCCCUUAGGUUCGGAAUAACUCCCCGAAAGGGGUGCUAAUACCGGAUAAUGUCUUCGGACCAAAGAUUUAUCGCCUUUGGAUGGGCCCGCGUUGGAUUAGCUAGUUGGUAGGGUAAAAGCCUACCAAGGCGACGAUCCAUAGCUGGUCUGAGAGGAUGAUCCGCCACACUGGGACUGAGACACGGCCCAGAAUACUACGGGAGGCAGGAGUGGGGAAUAUUGGAAAAUGGGCGAAAGCAUGAUCCAGCAAUGCCGCGUGAGUGAUGAAGGCCUUAGGGUUGUAAAGCUCUUUUACCCGGGAUGAUAAUGACAGUACCGGGAGAAUAAGCUCCGGCUAACUCCGUG